GAUGAACGCUGGCGGCGUGCCUAAUACAUGCAAGUCGAGCGAACGGACGAGAAGCUUUCUUCUCUGAUGUUAGCGGCGGACGGGUGAGUAACACGUGGAUAACCUACCUAUUUUACUGGGAGAACUUCGGGAAACCGGAGCUAAUACCGGAUAAUAUUUUCAACCGCAUGGUUCAAAAGUGAAAGACGGUCUUGCUGUCACUUAUAGAUGGAUCCGCGCUGCAUUAGCUAGUUGGUAAGGUAACGGCUUACCAAGGCAACGAUGCAUAGCCGACCUGAGAGGGUGAUCGGCCACACUGGAACUGAGACACGGUCCAGACUCCUACGGGAGGCAGCAGUAGGGAAUCUUCCGCAAUGGGCGAAAGCCUGACGGAGCAACGCCGCGUGAGUGAUGAAGGUCUUCGGAUCGUAAAACUCUGUUAUUAGGGAAGAACAUAUGUGUAAGUAAAUGUGCACGUCUUGACGGUACCUAAUCAGAAAGCCACGGCUAACUACGUG
rnacentral:rRNA from 1 species